GUAUACGAUCAACAACUUAAAAUAGAGCAUGAUUCAGACGGACUUUCCACUCUUACAAAUAGUAUGCAAGUCCUGUUGGGUUAAGGCGACAUUUAGACAAUUCGCUGGUGGCUUGCAGACCGUCGGAAGCAUUUACCUUUAGUCUAACAAGUGGCGAACUAAACGAACAGAAAUGCCAGCAGUAGUGUGCCCAGCGGGUCAGGUGCCAGAUGGACUUCCGGGUUCUUUCAACUGCGUAGAUUGCCAUACCUGUACGGCAUACCCAGAUUCGCCAUGGUGCCCGAGUUGUUUACUGGCCACAGAAUCACCGACGACAUUGGUCGAAGCAGACCUAUCCUGGCUGUGGGCGGUAGCUGUCAUCAUUGUUGCCGUACUUUUAAUCACUGGAAUCACCAUCUACUGUUGGAGGAGAAUUGGGCAAAAAUAUGAUCCAAAUCCAGUCACUGUAAAUGCGGUGCCAGCUACUACCACCAUGUCGGCACGUUUGGUUACUGCUGCGGAUGGAACACAUGUCUAAGGCCACAGGCCGGGUGUCGACAGUACCUAUAGAUGCAGACAGCUUUGUGAGAACUGCACUGCAAAACUUGCGUGAUAUGUUGGUUGUAGAUAUCAUGACGUCAGCGUCAUCCAAUGGUUAGACAAGAGACCGAAGAAGGUUUCUUUGAACAGAACACUUUGCAACAUUUAACUAGGCAACGUCUUUUGUCCUAUAGACAACUUUAACUUUAACUUUAUUUAGAUUGUAACGAGACAACACAGUAUCCUAUAGAUAUGAUUUAUGAUGUAAUAAUUGUUUGAUAGAUGAAAGGAUUGUUAUAUCACUGUUACCGUGUAUUAAUGUCUACAUGACUCGAGAGAAUACAUUGCCUGUAAUACCGUGACAAACGUAUAUGUAAUUGUUGAUAUCUACAUGUGUUUUUGUUUACUAUGUUGAAGUCUGAAGUGUGAAUAAAGCUUAAUAAGUCAAAACCUUA